rnacentral:tRNA from 1 species
AACGGAGUAUUUUAUAAAGAAAUUUGAGUUUGCGUCUCAAUAGAGGAUUUUCCCUUCGUUA